UCAGAAUUAGGUGAUGACGUCAGUCCAUGCUUCGGAAAUAGUUGUUUGCGAGGGAAGACGGCUCAACCAGCAAACACCUAAAGGACCUGGAAGGAAAACCUGAAAAACCCAUGACACUCCCUUUCCUGUUAGCUGUGUGGUGUUAUGAAAUGGACUGACAGGAUUUAGCUUUCCCAGCACCACUGAAGGACCCUCAGCAACUUCAAGUUCAAAAUGUCCUCACCUUCGCCUGAUUUUGGGAAGUAUUGCAUCAACACGUUUUUGCAAAAAGAAUGGAACUUUAAAAUUUUUUCUUGGCGUUCUCUUUCUCUUUAUACAUGAGCAAUAAAUGUGUGCAGAAGUCAUUCUAGCCAACAAGAUUGUCAGGCCGAGACGGGCAGAUCACGAGGUCAGGAGAUCGAGA
rnacentral:lncRNA from 10 species